CCAAUAGCGUAUAUUAAAGUUGUUGCAGUUAAAAAGCUCGUAGUUGAAUUUCGGAAUCUGUCCAUCGGUCGGGCUUCACUGUCCGUACUGGUGUGGUGGGUUCUUACCUUCUGAAUAACCAGCAUGCCAUUCAUUUGGUGCGUUGGGGAAGCAGGACUAUUACCUUGAAAAAAUUAGAGUGCUCAAAGCAGGCUAGUGCCUGAAUACAUUAGCAUGGAAUAAUAAAAUAGGACGGCAUGGUUCUAUUUUGUUGGUUUCUAGGAUCACCGUAAUGAUUAAUAGGGAUAGUUGGGGGCAUUAGUAUUCAGUUGUCAGAGGUGAAAUUCUUGGAUUUAUUGAAGACUAACUUCUGCGAAAGCAUUUGCCAAGGAUGUUUUCAUUAAUCAAGAACGAAAGUUAGGGGAUCGAAGACGAUCAGAUACCGUCGUAGUCUUAACCAUAAACUAUGCCGACUAGGGAUCGGACGAUGUUAAUUUUUUAAUGACUCGUUCGGCGCCUUACG
rnacentral:rRNA from 1 species